AAGUAGGCCCCAACCGCCGCGCCGGUCUCUAUGAAGAGCUCGCGCCACCGGAUCUGCGGCCUGCGCUGUCCCCAUUCCUAGAUUCCGUGGAGUUCGCUCGCCAUCCCGUGCCUGCACACCCAAGCCGCUGUGCACCCCUCCGCAGGCCACCGCUUUGCCCCGCCGUGCAUCCCAGUUUUAAGUUCUUUCCCAGCCGGGGCUCGGAGUUGGAUGGUCAAGAAAGGAGGACAUGGAGCAAGGCGUUCUUGGUGGCCGCGCACACGGGGCAGGCGUUCACGGCGGGUUCGCACGCGCCGCACAGGGACAGGUGCCGGUAAUGGAGCAGCAGAACGCAGGCGUCCCACGGUGGCGUCCGCGCCAUCAAGCUCCAGCACCAAGCCAAGCCACGUCUGGCCCUCUGUCGUCAUCUGCACGCAUGCCAUGGCAUCCGCGCCCUCAAGCUCCAGCACCAGCCCCGCCUUCCUACGCCGCGCCGCCGCCCGCGUUCCUCUGCUCCGACCGCGCCCGACGCCCGUGCCGGCGACCACUUCGGCCCUUGCCACGCCGGCGACCACCAAGAACCCCGCCACCUCCUGGCCUCCGCUUGCGACGGAGGCCCGCGGGUGUGGGAGCCGUCAACGGCCGCGACCUCGAGUGUCUCCAGCGGGAUAGGCGGUGGCAGUACGCUGCGGCGGGGCUGGGGCCACUCGCGGCAGGGGGUGGCGGCGCGCUUGAGGUGGAGAUGCGAUUGGGAGUGUUUUUUUCUAUCGCUAGUAACUGUUCGGGUUGACCUUGGACUGCGGGUUGAUUCGUAUAAACUUCAAGGGCUUUUAUGCAAAACAACCAUGACGGACGACAGAAACCCAAUUCUCUUUAUUAUUAGGUUGAAGACACGAGUUGGGGGUUCAACCUUUGUCCUCUCGAUGAAGAAGAUGGCAGUCAGUGAUGAUGGGCCUAGUGACCUAGGAACCAUUUUGUCUCUUUUUUUUCCCUAUUUUCAUGUAGUGAUUUCAUGAUUGUGUGAUUUUUGUGAUUUUCAUUGAGUGGUGUUGUUUAUCUUAGUUGAAACUCUAUCUCUAACAUGCAAUUCAGCCGUCCUUUGCGUCCCAAUUGCAAGUACAUUCCUUGAUUCGCAAUUGGGCCUGAUUCAUUUAUUGUCCUAGUUGCAAGCGCACCGUCUCGACAUGCAAUAAGGGGUCUGACCCUUUUUGUCCCAGU